CAACCGUUCACUCUGAACUUAAUCUUUAAUAACAAGAACUUGAUCUCUAUAUUCUUGAAUUUGUUGAGUUCCUUGUUAUUGAAAAUAGAACUAAUAAUUUAUUGUCACAAAUAACUUUAGUGGUAUUUUAAUUUCUUAUCCACUAUGUGCAGCCCCGUGACAAAGUUCUAUAAUCAGAUGCCUCAUGAUAUGUUAUCUUUGCAUCCAACAAAAUCGGAGUCAGUACACCAAAUGAUCUCAAGAAAAAGAUCUGACCUCCAAUACAUGAGCAUGUAGUCUUUUGUUCUCUUUAACUAUUGUAUGACCCAUUUGACUGCUUCAAAUGAUCUAAUCUUAAAUUUCUUAAAUAUCUGCCCAACAUCCCAAAAAUUGUACGCAAUACCUGAACGCAUACAAAACUGAAUAUACAUUAGACUCCCUACUACUUAUCAUAAGGAAUCUUCUGCACUUACUUUUCUUUAAAGUUAUUCAUAGGGCACUGUUUGAGACAAAACUUGUCUCCCUUAGCCACAUGGUUUACCGUCUUGUCAUUGACAAACAAAACCAAGAAAAUAUAUUUGCU
rnacentral:lncRNA from 1 species